GAGCAACCUGAGCAUGAUGAUAUAUUGAGAGAGAAAAGUCAGGACAGAGGAGAGAUGGAAAGAGAAGAGAGGAGAUGGUUGGUGGCAAAGCUUGCAGGAGCUGGUGUGAAAUUAUUGCAUAUUCCUAGAGCUUAACUCAUGGUCUAUAAGGACAGGAAGGCACUGGCCAUUAGUUUUGAGCAGCAUAUUACAGAAGGACCAGGGCUUUCUUAUAUGCUAGCAGGGGGCCCAGGAUCCAGCUUGCUUACUUGUCCAUUCACUUGUCAGGUCAGUCAGCUAAUAUUUUUUUUCAGUGCUCAUCCUGUGUUUGCAGUUGGAUUUCUGCUCUGCAGUGAUAGGUCGUGAGCUCAGUGGAGUUCUCUUGACACCGCAGACCAUCAACAUCAAAUGACUGAUGAAAUAAGGAAUUAUACAGCUCUAUCCAUUGUGAUACAAGAGUAUGAACAUUAGAGCAUAUGUAUUACAGGGAACUGACAUGGUCUCAGGGUAUAAAGGAAGGUGUUUCUAAUGAUAGAAUGUUUAAGCUUGUACCUAACAGAAGCCUCUCUUGUUACCAUAUUAUCUGUCGCUUCCCUAUACUGCCUCCUGUCAUCAUCUCAUUCCUGGUUCUCUAUUCAUUGUUGGGCUCAGUCUUUUCUCUUGAGCAUUUGAAGUGUAUAGUAUCAGUGGUUAGUGGGGUGGGAAAAUGUUCAGGAACCAAGGCUUGGCAGGAUCUUUCUCAAGCCUGCUAUUGCUUCAUUGUAGAGACUGCAUAGGAACUAAAUGGCCGUUUAAUUUUAUUCAUGCUACAGUGAUUCCCAUUAGGGAAUGAAAAGGGUUUUGGGAAUGGCAGAUCGAUGGUCAGCCACAGCCACAACUGAUUUAGCCUCUUAACAUCCUUUGGUGGAAACCACAAGCAGCCCAGAUCCUGUCACUUCUUAUUAGGAAUUUUUGGUAACAGCCAAUGAAAGCUAGUUUUUUGGUUUUUUUUUUUCUUUCUUUCAUUUAAAAUUUUAAUACUGUCUGGGUCAAGUGAUUGGGGAAUAAACAUCCACUCAUGUUUCCAUCUGCAGGGAAGUGAAGGUACUGUUGCUGCUAUGAUUUUGCAUUUAUAUAGCACUUGAGUGUUGGCUAAGUGCUUUUACAAUCGAUUUUAUUGUUCAGUUUAAAAGAUAGCCUAAAAUCACCUCUGUCAGAAUUUGUUUGAUAUGAUUCAGUGAAAAGGUCCUUUGAAAAAAAUGGACCUUAUGUUAUGUGGAAGAACUCUGAUUAGUCAAAAGACUAGAUAUAUGACAACAUGAAUGUCAUCUAGGAGUUCCCAUUGUGGUGUAGUGGAAACAAAUCCAACUAGUAUCCAUGAAGAUGUGGGUUUGAUCCCUGGCCUUGCUCAGUGGGUUAAGGAUCUGGCAUUGCCAUGAGGUGUAGUGUAGGGUGUAGGUCACAGACUAGGCUCGGAUCUGGCAUUGCUGUGGCUGUGGUGUAGGCCGGCAGAAGCCAACCCCCAUCAUGGCUUGGUUUGUGACCAGGGCACACAGGGAUGUUUUAUGAGUGACAGUAUGUGUCCUUUAAUAUAUUUAUCCUCAAAGCCUUAGCUUUUAUUGAGAGCAAGCACUGGCAGAAUUUAUCUGUACAAGACCAAUUAGUAAUAUAUCAGGCUUUGAGGGUCCUGCUCUUUCUUUAGCAACUAUGCAGCUCUGAAGUUGUAGCACUGUAGUAGCGAUGGACAAUACAUAGGCUAAAGGACAUGGCUCUUCAGUAAAAAAAAAAAAGUGGUUUUGGGGAGAAGGCCACCCAGAUUUGGCUUGUGCACCACAGUUUGCCAAUGUCUGACCCACAGUACUUCUGAGAUUCCUUUACUGAACAGAGGGUGUUUCAGAAGGCAGUGCUUGGCAGUCAGCUGAUAGCUCUAUGAAACCAGAGAUGGACUUGUCUUGCUAACCGUUGUGGCUCCAGGUCUAACACAGCACCUGUCAGGAGAUAAUUAAGCAUCUCUGUUGAAUAAAGGAAUGAGUAGCACGGAUCCCAGAUGGAGAAUUACCUGACGAAAGGAGGAUGGUUGCAUAAACAGAUUUUCAGGUUCUAUAGCAUGUAUUCUAUGGUGCUACCAUGUAAGGUAGAGCAAUUCUAUUUCAGCGGAGAGCUUAGUUCAGAGAACACAUACGGGGGCCGUCUGAAGAAUGAGAAAGGGCCAGUGCUGUAAAUGCAUAAUGAAGAACAGAGACCUAUGAUGCCCCAGGGCCUGGAUGGAAAAGGCAGUCCAGCCUCUUCCCCAGUCUGGGGCUUUCAUGUUUGUCCCAUUUUCCGUGGCUUCACUCACAUUUGUGCUGGAUGGUUCCCUGUUGGCCUUUGGGAUCUUUUUCUGUCCCUCCGCCUCUCAGGUUCACACCGGUCCCUGCUCCCUCUGUGGUCCUGAAGGUGAUCCUGGAGAAUGGAAGGUCACAGCUCCUGCCACCCCGUCCUCUGCUUUCAGGGGUCUCUCUCUGUUCCAGUCCCUGCUUCUUCUUCUCAUCCUUUAAGGCCCAGGGAAGUGAAAGACACCCUGGCCCAUUCUGGUGUUACUGGCCCCCAGAACAUUGUCUUACCCCCCUUGGGUUUCAGACACCUUUAAAAUUAGUCUCUUUAUUAAACUCUCCUCACAUUACCCAAAUUGAGGUACCAAGAGCUUUCUUCCUUCAGCCUAAUGAAUAGAGUAUCCUUAACAUUUUUUCAAAGACACCUAUUGGAAUUCCCAUCGUGGCUUAGCGGUUAACAAAUCUGACUAGGAACCAUGAGGUUGCGGGUUUGAUCCCUAGCCUUGCUCAGUGGGUUAAGGAUCCGGCAUUGCCGUGAGCUGUGGUGUAGGUUGCAGAUGCUGCUCAGAUCCCGUGUUGCUGUGCCUCUGGCGUACGCCGGUGGCUACAGCUCUGAUUCAACCCCUGGCCUGGGAACCUCCAUAUGCUGCAGGGGCAGCCCAAGAAAUGGCAAAAAGACCCCCAAAAAAACCCUCCAAAUCAAAGACACCUAUUGUAUGUCACUGUGACUGAAAGAUGUUUAAGUCCCCUGAAGUGAGUGGCUAUGGCUUCUGUUUCUUAGAAUCACAAAAUCUCAGGAAGCAAGUUAUUCUGGAAGGUGAUCUAACUCUUCAGAGUUUGGGUGUGUUCUGCUCCGUGUCUUUCAUUUUUCACUCUACUUGAAUACCUUGUACAGCAGGGAACUCAGUACUCCUAAAGUUCCCUCACAGGUCUUCAGCCACAUCUGCCUGAUAGAAUGGUAGAAUAUGUAGAGACAACUUCCACCCUCUGCCCUCAUCCUGUCCCCCAGGGUUUCAUGAAACAAGUCCAAUUUGCAUUUCAUUUCUCUGUUCUUCAGAGGGCAGGGUUUUGAGUUCCUUGACCAGCUCAAUCUCUUUAAAAGCUGGGUGCCUGGAGCAGAAGCUCUUUUCCUCUGCAUUGUCCGAUCAUGCUGAGUGAGCACUGGCAUGGUGACUACUCAGAAGGCUUACUGCCUUCAUGAUUUUGAGAAGAUCCGUACUUCCUCCUUUCUUGCUUGGAAAUGCAAGGGGAACAGGUCUGACCCCACUCUAGUCCCUCCCCACCUCCACUGAUUAUUUUUUCUAUAUUUUUAAAUUAUUUCUUUGUGGCCACCCCUUUGGCAUAUGGUAGUUCCCGGGCCAGGGAUCAAAUCAGAGCUGCAGCUGCAACCUAUGCUGCAGCUGCAACCUAUGCUGGAUCCUUUGACCCACUCCACUGGGCCAGGGAUUGUGCCUCCACACUGACCUGAGCCGCUGCAGUGGGAUUCAUAAUCCAUUCUGCCACAGCAGGAACUCCUUAUCUCCGUUGACUUAAGCAUCACUUGUAUGAACAGUUGCUUUUGAUGAUGGCUAAAUUUUUUCCCUGAAUUGGAUUUAUCUAUACCUACAAGCUAUCCUCAAGGGAGUAAAGUAGUUUAUAAAUUACAGAUCUUUAGAGGGCUAGGUCUACCAUCUGGUUUUCUUUUGUUUUUCCUCAGAUUUUAAGAGUACAUUUAUUUUCCUUUAAGUACUUUUGGGGCACUAUUUAAAGUAUUUGGCUGAAUUUUUUAUUGAGGUUUUAAAUCUGAACAUCAGAUAUAAGCAGAUUCAUAGGUUUUUUAGUAUUUUGUUUGUUUUAUUUUGGGGAUAUUUACUAUGUAUAUGCCAUUACUGUACCUCUUGCAUUUUGGAAAUAUAAAAAAAAUAUUGAAAUGCAAUAUUUUGGGACUGAUAAUCAAGUUGACUUUAAGGAAAUAUUCUGAAGUAGGUUCUUAAGUGUAUCAUUCAAGUCCAUUUUUAUAAUGAAAGUCCAAUUUCUUUUUUAAUAAGCCUUCAAAGUAUCUGUCAGCUUCUUUAAUUCUUCCUUCCAAUUUAUUCAGUGAGCUCAUGCCCCAUUUGGUUUUUGAUUAGAUUGCUUUCACCACGGCAGAAUUCUGGAAAAUAAAUCCUUUUGUACUUAAUGUGUGCCUUGGUUUAAUCUGGGUGAAUAGAACAAUGAAAACAACCCAUUAGAAAAUAAUUUUGAUUUCUGGAGAAAGAGAUGUGGCUUUCUUAAUCUUUAAUAAUUGCUAGGAAUUAUAUGCCGGGGAUCUUUGCUGAUGGCUCCUUUUCCUAUGCCUUCCUUCUACUUUCAUGAAUUUUUUCUUUCAAGAUUAAAAAACCAAACAAAACAUACUUAAGAUUCUUUACAAUGACUUCUCCAUUGGUUUGUAAUAGCUGAUGGUUUAUGAUCUUUUUCUUUUCAACUCUUUUUUUUUUUUUAAGUGAAAUUGAGUUGAAAUUUGGGUUACUUCUGAGGUGAAAUGCCUGCUUCUUCUUUUUUUUUUUUUUUUGUCUUUUCUAGGGCUGCACUGGUGGCAUAUGGAGGUUCCCAGGCUAGGGAGUCUAAUUUGAGCUGUAGCCGCCAGCCUAUGCCAGAGCCACAGCAAUACGGGAUCCUCAUACCACUGAGCGAGGCCAGGGAUCAAACUUUACUAUUAGUUUACUUUAUCCCAAGUUCUGUUAUUCAUGCAUUAGUUGGCAUUUUAUUUAUUUUCUUAUUUGUUGGCUUCACCUGAUAGGAAAAAAAAAACUAACAAACAAAAGAUCAUCCCUAUUUACAGUGCCUGGCAUAGCCAAUAAAUGAUGUAUAUUUGUUGGGAAUAUACAGAAUGUAAGUUUCUCAUGACAAUCUGCCUUUUUGUGACAGUGCUCAAAACUUUUAUGUAGUCCCCAAGAAGUUGCUGCUUUCUGAAAAAAUUCCAUUUUUAUAAAUAUGAUGCCUAAAGCAUCUAUUCUUAUAAGAUUUCCUUGCCUUUUAACUGAAAAAAUUCAUCUACCAUCUGUCAUCCGUCUAUUUAUUUGAUAAUUUCCAAGCACAAUUUUAUCUAUAUAGAAUCUAUAGAUUUUUUAAAUGACUUAUGUUACCAAUAAACUCUCUUCAUCAAAAUCAGUUUCCCCAAACCCAAAUCAUAGUGAUUUAAAAAGAACUGUACAAUUAACUAUAAUAGAAAAACUAAAAAUCUUAAAACAAAAUGAUAAAAUAAAAUAAAAAGAGAUGAAUACACUCAGGCAAGUAACUAUAGCAUCAUUGGAGGUAGGGAGUGAAGCAGUGUUUCAGCUCAAAG
rnacentral:lncRNA from 1 species